AUCGAACGCUGGCGGCAGGCCUAACACAUGCAAGUCGAGCGGAAGAAGGGAGCUUGCUCCUGGAUUCAGCGUCGGACGGGUGAGUAAUGCCUAUGAGUCUGCUUGCCAUUGGGGGAUAACGUCCUCAAACGGGCGCUAAUACUGCAUACUUCGUGCUCCUGCUGCAUGGGGAUCUUUGGACAGCAUGCUCUGAGAGGAGUGUAGGUCGGAUUAGCUAGCUGGUGGGGUAAAGGCCUACCAAGGCGGCGAUCGGUAACUGGUCUGAGAGGAUGAUCAGUCACACUGGAACUGAGACACGGUCCAGACUCCUACGGGAGGCAGCAGUGGGGAAUAUUGGACAAUGGGCGAAAGCCUGAUCCAGCCAGGCCGCGUGUGUGAAGAAGGUCUUCGGAGUGUAAAGCACGUUAAGUUGGGAGGAAGGGCAGUAAGUUAAGACCUUGCUGGAUUGACGGUACCAACAGAAUAAGCACCGGCUAACUACGUG
rnacentral:rRNA from 1 species